rnacentral:rRNA from 1 species
CACGUAGUUAGCCGUGACUUUCUAAGUAAUUACCGUCAAAUAAAGGCCAGUUACUACCUCUAUCUUUCUUCACUACCAACAGAGCUUUACGAGCCGAAAUCCUUCUUCACUCACGCGGCGUUGCUCCAUCAGACUUUCGUCCAUUGUGGAAGAUUCCCUACUGCUGCCUCCCGUAGGAGUUUGGGCCGUGUCUCAGUCCCAAUGUGGCCGAUCAGUCUCUCAACUCGGCUAUGCAUCAUUGCCUUGGUAAGCCGUUACCUUACCAACUAGCUAAUGCACCGCAGGUCCAUCCAAGAGUGAUAGCAGAACCAUCUUUCAAACUCUAGACAUGCGUCUAGUGUUGUUAUCCGGUAUUAGCAUCUGUUUCCAGGUGUUAUCCCAGUCUCUUGGGCAGGUUACCCACGUGUUACUCACCCGUCCGCCGCUCGCUUGUAUCUAGUUUCAUUUAGUGCAAGCACUAAAAUCAUCUAGCAAGCUGCUCGACUUGCU